AUGCCCAUCUACAUACCCUCAGAGGGGAAAAAUUCCCAGGUACCCACGCAUCUGACCAGGAUUUCCAUCCCUCAUGUCAGCAUCAGCACCGACUCCACAAAUAAAAUCAUCAAGGGAAAAGUUCUUUUUAAAGGACCACUCUCAAAAACUGCACCUGGCAGCUUCGUGCUUAAAACCGUCAUCCAAGGUACUAGCUGUUCAAGCAACUUGCUGUGUUCAUUUAUCAUUACAUUUAAAUACCUUUCUGCUGCUUCUUUGUCUGGUUUUGAUAUUAGAUUUUGUUUUUUAGAAGAUGCGGUCUCUGAGAACUCCUCCAUCAACACCUUCCUGUAUGGAGUGCUGGCCAAGGACUUCAGUCACAGUGUCAGUCUGGAGGUUUGUUCAGCUCUUAAUCCAAAUCUGUGGGAUGAAGUCACAGUUAGUUUAGGCUGAAGGGGCUUUGAAGCACAGCGUGACAACUGAUGAUGAAUACUAUUAUUAUUAUUAUUAUUAUUAUUAUUAUUAUUAUUAUUAUAAGCUACUGAAAGGCAAACUGUUUUAACUGAGGCCAUUUGAUUUUGUGUUUCUUUUUACUGAUAUCUGAUACACUGAUAUUGUCUAACUCUUAAUUUCUGGUACCGAUACAAACCGAUAUAUUCGAGGUCGCUACCCUUAGGAAAAAGAAAAACUUAAUCAUUUUAGGUUACUAACAUUACAUCUUUCCUAUCAUGCAGGCUUAAACAUUGUUGCAAAAUGACUGCUUAAAUGUAAUUGGUGUGUUUUUACUGAUGUCCGUAUAGGACCACCUGACUAGUUUCUAGGGUCUGUGACAAAGGAAAAUCAUGUCUCUCUCUUGGCUGUUGGGCUGACUCUGGGAGUUUUCCUGAACCACACCUUUAGCUGCAGCUUCUCUCGCUGGAUUCCAGUGCCACACGCUGUUGUGAUGAAGUGUUGAUUGAAAUGAAGAUGACAUACAUGGUGUCUGGCUGCGGAAUCUAAUUUACAGAUUGAGUUUAUUUUUUACUUCUUUGUGUUAUGCUAAGUGGUUACAAACCCUGACGGUGUGUUUGUUGUCUCUUUCCAUCCUUCUACAAGAGAACGCGUUUGGAAAUUCACACAGAGCUCAAGUAGUCUCAGCUUCAGGCCAGGACUAAAAGAUUCCUCUGUUUCUCUGAUUAAAAGGAGCACAGCCCAUCACAAACAGAUCCUGCUUGUUACGCCCCUCUAUUCAGUUGGCCUGGCUUUGUGCAGUCCCUGAUUGCACUGAGUGGCUGCACCUGUGGGUGCAGGAUAAAAGCCUGCUUGGUGCAGCUUCAGGGAGAUCCCCUUGAUAGCUCCUGCCUGUGUGGCAGUUGGUGAGGCUUUUUAGAGGCUGACUUUAAAGAAAGAAUACUCUUAUUUAGUGAUGGUGAGAGGAAGUCCCACGAGGCAUCAUACCACUUUGGCCAAUUGGUUCAAGAAUGGGUUCGUCUCAUGAUGCCUUGUGUGCACACAAACCUCCUGCUGGCCAAGUUUAUAACCACAGGCAGCUGUAGAUCUAAGCCACUUAAUGUGUGUUAGAUUACAUUU
ensembl:lncRNA